rnacentral:rRNA from 1 species
GUGGGGAAUAUUGGACAAUGGUCGAAAGCCUGAUCCAGCCAUGCCGCGUGUGUGAAGAAGGUCUUCGGAUUGUAAAGCACUUUAAGCGAGGAGGAGGCUACCGAGAUUAAUACUCUUGGAUAGUGGACGUUACUCGCAGAAUAAGCACCGGCUAACUCUGUGCCAGCAGCCGCGGUAAUACAGAGGGUGCAAGCGUUAAUCGGAUUUACUGGGCGUAAAGCGCGCGUAGGUGGCCAAUUAAGUCAACUGUGAAAUCCCCGAGCUUAACGUGGGAAUGGCAUUCGAUACUUGUUGGCUAGGUGAUGGGAGAGGAUGGUUGAAUUCCAGGUGUAGCGGGGAAAUGCGUAGAGGUCUGGAGGAAUACCGAUGGCGAAGGCAGCCAUCUGGCCUAAUACUGACACUGAGGUGCGAAAGCAUGGGGAGCAAACAGGAUUAGAAACCCUUGUAGUCC